rnacentral:rRNA from 1 species
AUUGAACGCUGGCGGCAGGCCUAACACAUGCAAGUCGAACGAGUGGCGGACGGGUGAGUAAUGUCUGGGAAACUGCCCGAUGGAGGGGGAUAACUACUGGAAACGGUAGCUAAUACCGCAUACCAUCGGAUGUGCCCAGAUGGGAUUAGCUAGUAGGUGGGGUAACGGCUCACCUAGGCGACGAUCCCUAGCUGGUCUGAGAGGAUGACCAGCCACACUGGAACUGAGACACGGUCCAGACUCCUACGGGAGGCAGCAGUGGGGAAUAUUCCACAAUGGACGCAAGCCUGAUGCAGCCAUGCCGCGUGAAUGAAGAAGGUCUUCGGAUUGUAAAGCACUUUCGGCGGGGAGGCGUUACUCACCGAGAAAGCCCCGGCUAACUCCGUGCCAGCAGCCGCGGUAAUAC